AUAACCGAUACAUAACUCUACCUUCGUACUCGUGGAUGUAUGAAGAAGCAUAUAGCGUAAACCCCUUAUCCAGCUUGCUGCCCGGUGUUUUAGACGUCGAACUGCAUAUUCUGUGGACAUCCAUGAUCUUCAUCUUUGGUAGUUCUUGGAGACAUCUUGAGUAGAACAGUGCCAUAUUUCAUACUAGUCGCAAACCGGAAACUGAUGAUUCUGUUUUGCAGUAUACGGAAGUAUAACCCCUAUAGACGCUGCCUCCAUUUUGAAAAAGAUGGAACAAAGUCUAAAAAUGUAACGGUAUAGUAGGCAGCUCUCCAUGUGUCUAAAUGUGCUGAUGAUCUACUAAUGAGUGGAAUAAUAAAUAUAUGAACAGUAAUAUUUGGUAUGUACUCCGAGCAACAGGGUCAAAGCAGGAAAUGCAGCAAUCAUCACAGAUAACAGUGGAGGUUAGAGACAAGUGUCCCACAGCUGAUUGGAACCACCUACCAGGUACAUUACCUGUCUGGUCGGAACCCUGGGAGGUCUUGUUCUUUCAAGAGGUUCCUGGAUUCUUCUGGUCUGCGAAACAAUGUUGGUCCUCCAAGGAGUGCCUUUUUUUUCUUGAUAUGCUUCAUAUUUCAUAGAUCAGCAUUGUACUACAUUCAAAUAUAAAAUUACAUCACACUGAAAUGACAGGUCAAGGGAUACCAAAAGUAAUCUAUUCUUUCAAAAAGGGGCCUUAAUUUUCCAUAGAGCGAAAAUUCAGUGGUGGCUUUACUAUAUUGUAUUUUGUUUAAUUGGCACUUCAUCCAUUUUAAGGGGGUUCAGCCUUAAAACAUAUACUUAAUGUGAUCAUCUAUUAAUUCAUCCAUUCAUUAAUCCCAAUUCUAGGGACAAUCUUCUAUAAUUUACAAAGCAAAAAAGCCACCCAUACAUUUGAGCUUUUAAGGAAAUGAUCAUUUUAGAAAACAUUAAUUUUUUUUUAUAGUAUGUCUUUCUUGGUCAGUUUUGAGCUUUAACCCAUAAUCCAAAUUAAAACAUUAAAAACCAUACAAUAUUGGAUGUCCACUGCACACUUGAUGUAAUUAUGGUUCCAUUGUUAAGAAAAAUCAUGAGUGGGUUUAUUCUGAAUGUCUGCAUUAUGGUUCCUAAGGGUUUUUUUUUAAGAGGUUUACAAAUGCUGUACACUGAGAAUAGUUAGAAAAGAAAGACCCGAUCCAUUGUUGUGGCCCACUAACACAGAGCCUGUCAGUCAACCAAAACCUUUCCAAGAUGGAUAUGAAUUCCAUAUUAUCUUAUUGCUAUAUUGCAUUUAUAUAUUGUUACAUUUGCAUUCAUUGUUCCAUCAUCACAGUACAGCCUUUACAACCAAAAUCCAAAAGAUAUUCAACUAUAGGAAGACGACAUUGACAGGUGACGUUAUAUGGCUUAAAACAGGCACUGGUGUGUUCUAUUUAAAGCGGACAUCAACUUUAAAGUGCUAUGACAAUGUCCCCAUCUAGUGGUGAAAUAGUACUCAUGAACCAUGCAGCAGUAAAUCCAUUUGACUUUAUUUUUCUUUUACAUGAACAUAAAAAAAAAAAACAUUUUUAGAAGUUAUGCAAUUAGAAACUGGCUUUCAAAGUACAAAUAACAUGUAAAAGGGGGUUGAUUAAAAAUGUAGGUUUUUAAUAUAGAAACAUUUCAAGUUAAAGCAGUGUUGAAGU